rnacentral:rRNA from 1 species
GAAGCCGUACCGUGAGGAGCGGUGGACUGUAUAGAAGUGAGAAUGCCGGUGUGAGUAGCGAGAUGUAGGUGAGAAUCCUACACACCGAAAGCCCAAGGAUUCCAGGGGAAGGUUCGUCCGCCCUGGGUAAGUCGGGACCUAACGCGAGGCCGAAAGGCGUAGUGGAUGGAAAGCAGGCGGAGAUUCCUGCACCCGUAUGUGGAGCGAUGGAGUGACGGAGACGGCUAAUGUGACCCUCUUAACGGAUUGAGGGCGAAGCGGGGUAGCGGUCGACCAGGCAAAUCCGGUCGGCAAAACGCGAAGACGUGACAGGGAAGCGAACGCUUUGGCAAGUAGCGAAGCACAUGAGGCCGGCUUCCAAGAAAAGCUUCUGGCAAUGCACAUGCGGCCCGUACCAAAACCGACACAGGUGGGCAGGUAGAGGAUACCAAGGUGAGCGAGAGAACUGUUGCCAAGGAACUCGGCAAAAUGGCUCCGUACGUUCGCAAGAAGGAGCGCUUAUGAAAAUAAGCCGCAGUGAAUAGGCCCAAGCGACUGUUUAACUAAAACACAGCUCUCUGCGAAGUCGCAAGACGAAGUAUAGGGGGUGACACCUGCCCGGUGCCGGAAGGUUAAGAGGAUCUGUCAAUCGCAAGAUGAAGCAGUGAGUUGAAGCCCCGGUGAACGGCGGCCGUAACUAUAACGGUCCUAAGGUAGCGAAAUUCCUUGUCAGGUAAGUUCUGACCCGCACGAAAGGUGUAACGAUUUGGGCGCUGUCUCGGCAGCAGGCUCGGUGAAAUCUUAGUACCUGUGAAAAUGCAGGUUACCCGCAACUAGACGGAAAGACCCCAUGGAGCUUUACUGUAGCCUGGUAUUGGAUUUUGGUCAGACAUGUACAGGAUAGGUGGGAGACUGUGAGACGUGCACGCCAGUGUACGAGGAGUCGCCGUUGGGAUACCACUCUUGUGUGAUCGGAGUUCUAACCUGGUGGCCUGAACCGGCCAUAGGGAGAGUGCCAGGUGGGCAGUUUGACUGGGGCGGUCGCCUCCCAAAGAGUAACGGAGGCGCCCAAAGGUACGCUCAGAUUGGAUGGAAACCAAUCGCCGAGUGCAAAUGCAGAAGCGUGCUUGACUGUGAGAGCAACAACUCGAACAGGGACGAAAGUCGGGAUUAGUGAUCCGGCGGUGCCGAAUGGAAGGGCCGUCGCUCAACGGAUAAAAGCUACCCUGGGGAUAACAGGCUGAUCUCGCCCAAGAGUUCACAUCGACGGCGAGGUUUGGCACCUCGAUGUCGGCUCAUCGCAUCCUGGAGCUGGAUUCGGUUCCAAGGGUUGGGCUGUCCGCCCAUUAAAGCGGUACGCGAGCUGGGUUCAGAACGUCGUGAGACAGUUCGGUCCCUAUCUGUUGUGGGCGAAGGAGAUUUGAGGAGAGCUGCCCUUAGUACGAGAGGACCGGGGUGGACCUACCGCUGGUGCACCAGUUGUAUCGCCAGAUGCAUAGCUGGGUAGCUAAGUAGGGAAGGGAUAAGCGCUGAAAGCAUCUAAGCACGAAGCCUACUCCAAGAUGAGAUCUCCCAUUCGCAAGAAGUAAGACCCCUUGAAGACGACGAGGUAGAUAGGCCAGGGAUGGAAGUGCAGCGAUGCAUGGAGUUGACUGGUACUAAUCGGUCGAGGACUUAAUCAG